rnacentral:rRNA from 1 species
UACAGAGACUGCAAGCGUUAUUCGGAUUCACUGGGCGUAAAGGGUGCGCAGGCGGCCGUGUGUGUGAGGCGUGAAAGCCCGGGGCUUAACCUGGGAAUUGCAUUGAGGACUGGUGUGCUCGAGUGCGGCAGAGGGGGGUGGAAUUCCACGUGUAGCAGUGAAAUGCGUAGAGAUGUGGAGGAACACCGAUGGCGAAGGCAGCCCCCUGGGCCGACACUGACGCUCAUGCACGAAAGCGUGGGGAGCAAACAGG